rnacentral:lncRNA from 1 species
AUAACUCGAGCAUCAGUGCUUUACCAAGUGUUUUGCUCAGGUAUGUGCAGAAAAUCCAGGAUCGCUAGAGAAUCUUCGCCACCUCUUACCAUAGACCAUCUUGUGUGUGUCUCUAAUACAUGCACAAACUGGUACAUAUACAACGGAGUAGCAAUCAGGUGGAGAGUAACUAGAGAUAUUAAAGCGUUUGUGCAGUAUUGGCGGUGGGGUGGGUGUGGAUGGACCUGUGGCCUUCCUGAUGCUGUUGGACUCCCAACUUUCAGCAAGAAGGAAAUCAUAAUGCAGUGCAAGGAAAGCAGUUUACCAGCCUAUUGGGUGCUGCUCAUACCAACAUAAAAAUGGGUGCUGGGUCUGAUGUGGAGCUGCGAGAACCAGAUUCAGCUCACUUUGGGUGACUUUGAGCAGAGCUGCUAUAUAUGCUGAUUGCCUCAUGUAAGGAAGAUACAUGUAUGAUGUAACACUGUCGCCUGUGAGCCAGGUGCUCCCCAGCCAAGCUGUUCAACAGUUGGAACACCCACAUACACUAUGACAUCAUUGCAUCCAAAGAUUUUGGCUGUGUAAAGUCUGUCUCCCCCUCUCCAUCUGAAGAACAUAGCAAGUGUCCUACUGGGCAGUGAGAGCUCACACUGGAAGUUGUGUGUAAGGCAGAGGUGACUGUCAGGUUUGAUAUGAAGGAGUGGGCUGCAAACAUUAAGAUGGGGCUAGAGAGAAAUUGUGGGCUGCUGACUGGCUAUCCCUCUUGUAUGAAGAAUAGUUCAGGUGUUUCCUCUUCUAUGGGUACAUAGGCUGACCAGCUAAUACACAUAUUUUCAUGCCUACAAUGGAAAAACUGCCAACUCAAAUAUUAUUAAACAAUUAUCACAAUAUGAACUUCAAUUUUGGACUAUAUAUAUCAAUAUAACUCCCAGCCCUGCACAGAGAUUGUCUCCACAUUAAGUAAAGUGACAGAUGAAAUGUUUCUUGCAGCCUAAGUAGGUUGCAAGCUUAAAUAACAUUUUAAAAAAAUGUUUGAAUGUGCUAUAGAAACAAUUAGCCAUCAUCUCAGGGUUAAGCUUAAUAAAUUUACUGCCGUGCUAUGUUUUAAAGCCCUAUAGGAAUCAGGGCAACUAACAGCAGCCUCCACCCAGGCUGUCCUUAUCUUUGUCACAGCUUCUACCUAAGUCUCUGUGACUCUCCUUAAACUCAGCCCCGUAUCUGCCAACUUUAAAAAAGCAUGAGUCAGAUUACUUCAAACCGUGAGAUUUAGAUUUAUGUCACACACGUUCCCCUUUUUAAAGAUAAAUGAGGUUCUAUUUUUUCCUUGGUUUAUGACCAUGGCACAUGCUGCAGGCAUGUUCUCUUUGUAACUAUGAAAAGUGGAUUUUUUCCCUUUUAAAAAUGUAAGAUUCUCAUCCCUCAGUUCCAGGAUCUCAGAGGUUCUGAAACCUCACGACUCUGCAUGUAAAAUGGGAAGAGUCAGAAUACUAUGUCUGUGGUGGAAAAGUACUGUGCCAAAAUACGUUUGGAGAGGCUUGGGUUAGGUCAUCCUUGCUUCAGAGGUGAGGAUGCUAGGCAGAGGAUCAGUGGCAGUGUUUGUGCCAUGGGGGUAUUUAUUUGUUGCAUGAGUGUCUCAGCUUUUCUGCAAGGAGCUCAGGGUGGUGUACAUGAGCUUCUCCCUCAUUAUAUCCUCACAACAAGCCUGUGAUUGUAGUUUAAGCUGAAAGUUGGUGAUUGGGCCAGGGUCAACCUGUGAACUUGGGUGAGCAAAGAUUUGAACUUGGGUCUCCCUAGUCCAAAAACCAUCAGUCUGCAUGCUACAUUGCAGGACAGGAUGCUUGUUCCCUUGCUGGUUUCAUUUUUCCUAAAGUGAUGAAUCUGCUGUCUAACCUCAUGCCGUCACGUACCAUGGUGGCAUCUGAGCAACCUUUCACCCCAUUCCAUCUGUUUCCUCUUUGUCCUGAUUUAUCCUCUUUUCGUUUCUUCCUCUCUGUGCUUUCCUGAGAGUCCUAUCUGUGAUCAGCAUGUUCAGGUUUGCAGGAAGCAGGACAGACGGGUACCCAGGUGAGAUUGCCACUGAUAAUGCAGAAUAAGAAGGAUGUGAGACAGGAGGGAGAGGUGACCUUGUGUUAAGUUAAUCAAGUCUGAGUGGAAAGUGGCCAAUCGCGUAAGAGCAGAUAAAGCAGGGCUAGUGGAGGAGUCUGAGGAGAUGAUGGAAUAGACAUGAAAAUGUUCGUAGUCUGUGAGGCAUUAUUGCACCCAGUUGUUUUGUUUUAUUUUUACAGCAACUACAUCUGAGUUGGAGUAUUAUUGGUUUUCAUUACUGCAUGAUAUGAUUCUGUUGCAAGGGAAGGCGUUUCCAAAAACUGAAGGUGCUUACUUACCAAUAGUACUAAAUAUUUAUACACACACAGUACAACUUAAUUACCAUGGAUGCCAUUUCACUAGUUAGUUAAGCUAGUUCUAGAACAAUUAUUUCUGUCCAUAUGCAGAAGCAGAAAAUGGCUACUCUGGAAAGCAGCAACCCUGCUCCUAGUUACACACAUGUAAUUCUGAUUGAAACUGGUGGAACGUGAUGAAGGCGUGAAGGGCUGCAGACUAAGGGUUUGCACUAGUGGCAGGAGUAAAAUAUCAAAAGAACUCUUUCAGUGCCACCGAGGAUCUUGUGUCAGAAAUGUAGAGAGAAGAUAUGCUAGUAGUACACAUUUUAUUUUUCUUAGUCCAGUUGCUGCUGAACAAUCAUUAGUUUACAGAGCAUGGAAACCACUCUUUGGGAUCAGGGAUAGAGAAUCAUAUCAGAGGUUCAGAAGAGGUUUGCUAGGAAGAGAUGGUUGGCCUUGCUGCUUAUAUAGGAGAGCGGAGAACUGUAUCCAAUUAACGUUAUGAGCAUAUGGAAAUUAUAUGCAUUCAUUGUGAAGAGCAGACAUGAAAAAAAAUCCCAUUGUGUUGUUGUCAAGACACCUAAAGUUUGAUGACCUAGGUGAGAAGAAGCAGAGUCACAAGGCAUGGCAAUUACUCUGAAGCAGUGUUCUUAAAACCCUCAUAACUGAGCUGUGUAGAACCUUGAUUUUGUGUUGGCACAAUGGUAUGCAGAUGUCCUGCAUGUGACAGUGAGUGUGAUCUGAGAGAGGUUGGCCAAGCUAUGCUCCAAGCUCUUUCUGGGGACACACAUGGAACGAAGUAUAGACCUUAUGAGAUUCAUUCAUUCAUUCAUUUUACAUUUAUAUCCUGCCUUUCCAUGAAAGGCAAACUCAAUGUGGCUUUACAAAAUAGACAUUUAGAACAUAAAACAAGUUAAAAUGCCACCACCAUCAUAAAAAUACACAAAUUUGCAGCGGUAACAGCAUCAUAAAACACAUUCAGCAAGCAGCAAAUAAAACACAUAGUCAGAGACUCUGAGUAAAAAAUGCCCACAGGAAUAGAAUUGGUCUUAAUAGCUCAUUUAAGAAAAGGCAAAGUGUUCAUGUCAGAGACACCUCUUUUGAGGAAGCUAUUCCAUCUCUUAGACACUUCAACUGAAACGUGGUCUCGCUUUCAUUCCAGUCAACUGUUUUCAUUGGCAAAGGGGCCCUGGAAGCUGAACACAGAUCAGAUCACAUGACAGGAUAUGAUGUUUGAGGAACCCCUGCUCUCUCAGACCAAAAGCAACACUUUGAAUUGAGCCCAGAGUUGAAUUUUGGCAUACUUGGACUGUCUUCAAGAGUAGCCCUGCAUAGCAUGCAUUGCAGUAGUCCAACCAGGCUGUGGCAUAAAUGACCAAGGCUAGAUCUAAUUUCUCCAGAAAAGGACAUAGCUGGCAAGUCAGUUGUAGUUGGGUAUCAGUGACUACUAGCCAUGAUGGCUGUGUUUUGCCCCCAAAGUGGGAGGUUGUAAUGCUUCUAAAUACCAAUUGCUGGAAAUGGAUAGUGCUCUUGUGCUCGAGUCUAGUUUGCGUGCUUCCCACAUGCAUCCAGUUGGCCACUGUGAAAACAGAAGGCUAGACUAGAUAGGCCACAGGCCUGAUCCAGCAGGCUCUUAUGUUAUUAUGAAAAAUGCAAUCUUUUCCACCACUUCAAGUUGUGCAUCCAUAAACACAAUUAGAUCCAGGAGUUCCUUCCACUCCCCAAGCUGUAAAUGUUUUGCUUCAGGGGGAGUGCAACUCCACCCAAUGCUGCCUGAACAUCACUUCUAAGAUAAUCAGGACCACCAGCCAGCUGUAGCCAACCUAUUGUGGCAAAAGGGUUGUAAUUUCAUAGUUUGGAGGAAAAACAGACCAGUCAACUGCUGACAAAACAUUAAGGUCUGGGAGGACUUGGCAACAAUCCAGGAGAGGUCCAUCAUCAGGCCCCCCUGUUCCUUCUGUUGCAGCCUUUGUACCAGUAUAUUUAAAACCAAGAGGAAUGUCGACAGAAGAGGCUUUAGUGGCUGCAUUAUAUAAGAUAAAUUACUCAUUGGAUCGGCUUAACAGGAAAAUGGACACGAUAAAUGCAAAAGUGGAUGUUUC